GAGGCAGAGGGGAAGACAUUUUAGUCUUGUGCUCUUCUAGUUGCUAAAGCGCUGGGCUGCCGGGCUGUGGGAGUCAUGAGGCGGCCCUGCUUCAUUCGAUAUGGGCUCAUGGGGAGAGAACCAUGGAUGUGCAGGUCUAGGCCCUUAGAGCAGUGAGGGGGAAAGGGGUAGCGAGCAAAACACCCGCGUUCAGCGAGCAGCUUGAGCGGUGGUACGCUGAAGUAAGAGCACUGGCUUUUGGAAAAACCUGCGGACUACCGGGCGAGCAAAGAGAGAGAGAGACAGCCUACCGCUGUGUCGGUCGAGCAGAGAGCGGGAUCUCCGGCGGCUGAAGAGUGGUUCUUGAAUCGGCCAGAUACUGUUCCAUCCUCUUUUCUGCCAAUCAAGCAAAGAUGAGGACAACACCCAAACUGGCACGAUAACAGCGCCGUAUAAGAAGAGGACCCAAUUGUUCCAAAAGGCCUUGAUUUUGCUCCGCCGCGGUCCGCGCGGAGGCUGCGGCAGCUGUGGACAGCAACAGGUGAGAAAAGGUGAGAGGAACCUGCUGACAUCCAUAUGACCGUAUGACCAAGACGAGACCUGUCUGUCCAGGAGACAGAGACCACACCAGAUAUGUUUUAUCUACCAUGGUUGUGAUAAUUGGAUUUUCUGGACACCUGUAUGAGUGCAGUAUAUCCAGCGGAUUAUAACCAGGGAGAGGGUGUCCUUCUGAUGUUCUUGAUGCACAUCCAAGGGUACUCGUCCGUUGAAGGGUGAUGGAGAUGAGGUUCCUUCUGCUAUAACCCUGGCCUCCAAGAACAGCUUCAAAGACAGGACCUAAGGAGAGAUCAGUCACGCAAAACACAUCUACACACCACUGCUUCUGCUGCAAAUGUGAGGGCAUGAUCUGUCUCUGUGAAGACAAAAUGAUAUGUACCUUGUGAAAUUCAAAGAACACGGUUAAUUUUGAAACUGUUACAACUGAAACGACGAAACUUUUUACCAAUAGACACUACGCUGCUUAUGAUAUGAACUGUAUCGUCCAUUGAUAUAUUGGAUUUCAUGAUGUUACAUAUCUUCAAUCUGUGAUCAUAUUAAAUCAAUGAAAUCAUGGUGUGCUGUGUCUUCGG